UACGUAGGGCGCAAGCGUUGUCCGGAAUUAUUGGGCGUAAAGAGCUCGUAGGCGGCUUGUCACGUCGAUUGUGAAAGCCCGAGGCUUAACCUCGGGUCUGCAGUCGAUACGGGCUAGCUAGAGUGUGGUAGGGGAGAUCGGAAUUCCUGGUGUAGCGGUGAAAUGCGCAGAUAUCAGGAAGAACACCCGUGGCGAAGGCGGUUCUCUGAGACGGUACUGACGCUGAGACGCGAAAGCGUGGGGAGCGAACAGG
rnacentral:rRNA from 1 species